rnacentral:lncRNA from 1 species
AAGGAGAUAGAUGAAUUUGUUGGUAUUGACAUAUUGUUUUGAUAUGAUUUUGGUCAUGGUUUUGAGUAAUGAAAUGGUUGUGAAUGAGAUAGCAUAUUUUGUGUAUUAAAUGGCAUAUUUUGGUUGUUUAAAUAUGUAUGAAAAUGGUGCAAAUUAUUGUUGUUUAAGUAUGCAUGUGAUGGGUGAGAAAUGUGGUUUAAACCAAGCCUAAUUUUACCUCACAUGGUUAAGUACAAUGGCGUGUGACUCGACCGUGUGCC